rnacentral:misc_RNA from 1 species
GUGAAGAACGCAGCGAAAUGCGAUAAGUAAUGUGAAUUGCAGAAUUCAGUGAAUCAUCGAAUCUUUGAACGCACAUUGCGCCCGCCAGUAUUCUGGCGGGCAUGCCUGUCUGAGCGUCAUUUCAACCCUCAUGCCCCUAGGGCGUGGUGUUGGGGAUCGGCCAAAGCCCGCGAGGGACGGCCGGCCCCUAAAUCUAGUGGCGGACCCGUCGUGGCCUCCUCUGCGAAGUAGUGAUAUUCCGCAUCGGAGAGCGACGAGCCCCUGCCGUUAAACCCCCAACUUUCCAAGGUUGACCUCAGAUCAGGUAGGAAUACCCGCUGAACUUAAGCAUAUCAAUAAGCGGAGGA